GACGAACGCUGGCGGCGUGCUUAACACAUGCAAGUCGAACGGAAAGGCCCUGCUUUUGUGGGGUGCUCGAGUGGCGAACGGGUGAGUAACACGUGAGUAACCUGCCCUUGACUUUGGGAUAACUUCAGGAAACUGGGGCUAAUACCGGAUAGGAGCUCCUGCUGCAUGGUGGGGGUUGGAAAGUUUCGGCGGUUGGGGAUGGACUCGCGGCUUAUCAGAUUGUUGGUGGGGUAGUGGCUUACCAAGGCUUUGACGGGUAGCCGGCCUGAGAGGGUGACCGGCCACAAUAGGACUGAGAUACGGCCCAGACUACUACGGGAGGCAACAGUGGGGAAUGUUGCACAAUGGGCGGAAGCCUGAUGCGGCAACGCCGCGUGCGGGAUGACGGCCUUCGGGUUGUAAACCGCUUUCGCCUGUGACGAAGCGUGAGUGACGGUAAUGGGUAAAGAAGCACCGGCUAACUACGUG
rnacentral:rRNA from 1 species